GGUUGAGGUAACAACCAAGUUACACUUCUUCCAGCAGCACCCAGCCAGCGAGAGCCCUCAGAUUUUAGAAUUUUAGAAGAGAAGAUUGUGGCCAUGUCUGGAAUUCAAAGAAGAACCAGUGAGAAGAGCUAGACAGAACUGAUGGAUGCUGAAACAUCUAAUAUUAAAAUAGAAGGGCAACCCUAAAUGACAAUAUAAAAUUACAGUAUUAAUGGUAGAGUAAUUAAGGAAGCCAUUAAU
rnacentral:lncRNA from 1 species